UAAAGCAAAACUACUGAAUUUAACUUUGGUAGAUUUUCUUACUGAGGCGCCCCCUAAUGCCAGCUGAUUCAACGUCCAUCUUGCAUCCUGCCUCUUCUCUGAUCUCUCUCUGGCAA